GACGAACGCUGGCGGCGUGCCUAACGCAUGCAAGUCGAGCGAAUGAAGUUCCUUCGGGGAUGGAUUUAGCGGCGGACGGGUGAGUAACACGUGGGCAACCUGCCUCAUAGAGGGGAAUAGCCUUCCGAAAGGGAGAUUAAUACCGCAUAAGAUUGUAGUACCGCAUGAUACAGCAAUUAAAGGAGCAAUCCGCUAUGAGAUGGGCCCGCGGCGCAUUAGCUAGUUGGUGAGGUAACGGCUCACCAAGGCGACGAUGCGUAGCCGACCUGAGAGGGUGAUCGGCCACAUUGGGACUGAGACACGGCCCAGACUCCUACGGGAGGCAGCAGUGGGGAAUAUUGCACAAUGGGGGAAACCUUGAUGCAGCAACGCCGCGUGAGUGAUGACGGCCUUCGGGUUGUAAAGCUCUGUCUUCAGGGACGAUAAUGACGGUACCUGAGGAGGAAGCCACGGCUAACUACGUGCCAGCCGCCGCCGUAAUAC
rnacentral:rRNA from 1 species